rnacentral:rRNA from 1 species
GACGAACGCUGGCGGCGUGCUUAACACAUGCAAGUCGAACGGAAAGGCCCUGCUUUUGUGGGGUGCUCGAGUGGCGAACGGGUGAGUAACACGUGAGUAACCUGCCCUUGACUUUGGGAUAACUUCAGGAAACUGGGGCUAAUACCGGAUAGGAGCUCCUGCUGCAUGGUGGGGGUUGGAAAGUUUCGGCGGUUGGGGAUGGACUCGCGGCUUAUCAGCUUGUUGGUGGGGUAGUGGCUUACCAAGGCUUUGACGGGUAGCCGGCCUGAGAGGGUGACCGGCCACAUUGGGACUGAGAUACGGCCCAGACUACUACGGGAGGCAGCAGUGGGGAAUAUUGCACAAUGGGAGGAAGCCUGAUGCAGCAACGCCGCGUGCGGGAUGACGGCCUUCGGGUUGUAAACCGCUUUCGCCUGUGACGAAGCGUGAGUGACGGUAAUGGGUAAAGAAGCACCGGCUAACUACGUG